rnacentral:rRNA from 1 species
AGAGAGAGACAUGCGCGCAUAUCAAUAAGCGGAGGAAAAGAAACUAACAAGGAUUCCCUUAGUAACGGCGAGUGAAGCGGGAAGAGCUCAAAUUUGAAAUCUUCAAGGUUCUACCUUGACGAAUUGUAGUUUAUAAGAAGUGUUUUCUGUUAGUGAGUGGCUAAAAGUUCUUUGGAAUAGGACAUCAUAGAGGGUGAGAAUCCCGUAUUUGGUCAUUCCUCCUAGCGUUGUGAUACACUUUCAACGAGUCGGAUUGUUUGGGAAUGCAGUCCAAAAUGGGUGGUAAAUUUCAUCUAAAGCUAAAUAUUGGCGAGAGACCGAUAGCGAGCAAGUACCGUGAGGGAAAGAUGAAAAGAACUUUGAAAAGAGAGUUAAACAGUACGUGAAAUUGUCAAAAGGGAAGCGUUUGACACCAGUGUUGUUUUUCCGAAAAUCAAUUACGAAUGUUUUGUUUUUGAGGAGUUAUGACUUCAUCGGCUUGCUCCUUUCUUUACGAAACUUUCUUAAUGCACUUUUCGGUUAACAAGUCAACAUCAAUUUCUUUUGUUGUAAAAGGGUAUGAGGAAGGUGGCUUUCUUUUCGGAGAAAGUGUUUAUAGCCUUGUGCCUCUGCAAUCGGAGAGAUUGAGGUCUGCAGCGUAGAUCCUUCGGGGUUAGAUACGUUUGUGCUAAGUUAUAGCUUUUCAUAGACAACUUGUUGACUAUGUUUAGUCUUGUAGCUUACUCGCUGACGCUAUUUUACCUACGCUUAGGAUGUUGAUAGUCACAGCGUGUAC